AUCGAAAACCACGUUACGUAAGGGAGUAAAAUUAAGAGAAGAUUCGAGUGGUCCAGGAUUGUUAGAAAUUUGUUGUCUUGAAAAGAGGGGAAUAUAUGAAUUGGUGAAAUACUAGGAUUUAAGCCCAAGAGUUAUAAAUCCAUGAAAGGCGUAAUGAGGUUCAGUAGAAAAGGAAAGUUGAGCAGAAGGAGUGUCUGUAGAUCCUGCUAAGGUUCGAGCUGUGAGUGAGUGACCUACUCCAAAGAACGUGUCUAAUAUUUGAAGUUUCCUAGGCCUAUUUGACUGUUAUAAGAGGUUGUGAAGACUUUAGAAGAGAGCAAAACCAAUGGCAAACUUGUUGAAAAAGGAAUCAAAAUUUGAGUGAAGUGAGAAAAGUGAGGAAGCUUCUAGAUUUUAAAAGAGAAUUUGACCUCCGCAACUGUUGUCGCGUCAAUUGAAACCUUGUAAGCCUAAUUACCAAACCCAUGACCUAAAGUUAGCUGCUAUUGUGUUACCUGCGAAUAUUUGGAGACAUUACCUUUAUAGGGCAACACGUAAGAUCCUUACCGAGCACAAAAGUCUGAAACUUUGGCAAUAAGGCCCAGUUGAAUCUUGGGGACAACAUCGAAAAAUAUACUGCUUUCCACCCUGCAAUUGAUGGUCAGCCUGGGAGGACUAACCAAACUACGGAAUAUAUGUUGAGAGCCCGUGUUAUUGACUUUAAGAGUAACUGGGGAACCACCUAGAUUCGAUUGGAUUUCUUGAAAGAUAGUUACCAUACGAACAGUAAGAUGUCACAUGUUGAGGCAUUGUAUGGGAAAGAAGUGUAGAGGUUCCACUUGUUGGGAUGAUUUUAGUGAAAAUAUAGUAUUGGGGGCAGAAUUCGUUGAAGAAAGGAAAUACCCAAAGUUAUUCCCUGAGAUGAGUUACGAGGGCGUAACUCGUUUUCUUUAAGAGGGGUAGAAUACGAUAUAAAUUCGCGCUUUUUACCUAAUUUUAUGGUGUUUUUAUGCAUUUUUAUGCUUAUUUUAGCAAAUUAUUCAUGUCGAUGCAAGUAAAUAGAUUCUUCGCGUAACAAAUAGGUGUUCAUGAGUAAUUCAAGAAACUUUAAGUUGGCAAAAGAGUGUACAUAAAUGCCACAAGUAUUUCUCCAAUGAGAAUGAGUUGAAAAGUUUGGAAAGAUAGGUGAAUUUUCGUGUCAAGUUUCGGGACGAAACUUCUUUUAAGAGGGGUAGAUUGUAAUCCCCCGUAAUUUUAUACAUUGUUUAUAUUUUUUACGUAUAUUUAAUAUAUUUAAGUACAAUUUGCGGAUUUUAGAAAUGAAUAUGUAAUUAAAAUAUAAUUAUUUUAUCUCAUUUUGAAUACUUUAAUGACUUACGAAAUCAAAAUGUAUUUUCGAAUUUUACGUUAAAACGAAUUCGAAUUACGAAAAUCGAUUAAAUUUAGAAAACGAUCCUAUCCGAUUUUGGAUUCGAAUCCUAAAACUAAAUUCCUAAGUCUAGCCCAAUUGAAUAAAGCCCAAUAUUAUAAACCCAUAACCCCAUACUUCUACUCCAUGUAAAACACAAAACACAAAACACCAAACCCCUCUAUUCCUACUUCACGUAAAAACCAAAAAGGGCAAAACCCAUCUCUCUCCUUUCCUGCUUCCUCUUCCUCCCUCUGCCCAGCCGCCGACCACCACGAGCACGCCACCAAGGCCGCCAGACCACCUCGCCGCCACGUCGCUGACCACCAGCUCUCACCACCACCUUGCUCGCGCAGCCCCCGCGUCGCCACCCAGCCUGCGCCGCCGCUGCCUUGUCCCUGCUCGCCGCCACCGCAAGUAGCACCACCGUGUGCCGCCGUCUCUCAGCCCUGCCGCAAGCCACCUCUGUCCGCCAGCCAACUCUCUCUCCUCCUUCUUGAAUUGGCGGAGAAUUCUCUUUAGGCGACUUUUGAAAGUGUUAAAGUGGCCUAUCAGUUUGUUUACACAAGUCUCUAAGGAUCAAUAAGCGUUGCCCAUCUACAGGUUUGAAGAUGAUGCAUCAUUGGGAUCGGGAUUAGAGAGCUUGUAGUUCUAUUCGUUUAAUUAAGUGAUUUAAUUUGUUAACUUGGAUUUGAAAUUUGUCGUACUAUUCGUAUUUCCUUAAUUCAGUUAAUUGGUUUGGACCUAAUAUGUAAUAGAUUAUUUAUGAACCUAAAAGUUAGUUUUAUGUUUUCCGCUGCAAAA